rnacentral:rRNA from 1 species
AUUGAACGCUAGCGGCAUGCCUUACACAUGCAAGUCGAACGGAGUGGCGAACGGGUGAGUAAUGUAUCGGAAUGUGCCCAGUAGCGGGGGAUAACUACGCGAAACCGUCGCUAAUACCGCAUACUAUUGGAGCAGCCGAUAUCGGAUUAGCUAGUUGGUGGGGUAAAGGCUCACCAAGGCGACGAUCCGUAGCUGGUUUGAGAGGAUGACCAGCCACACGGGAACUGAGACACGGUCCAGACUCCUACGGGAGGCAGCAGUGGGGAAUUUUGGACAAUGGGGGAAACCCUGAUCCAGCCAUCCCGCGUGUGCGAUGAAGGUCUUCGGGUUGUAAAGCACUUUUGGCAGGAAAGCGGUACCUGCAGAAUAAGCACCGGCUAACUACGUGCCAGCAGCCGCGGUAAUAC